rnacentral:tRNA from 1 species
GGCCCCGUAGCUCAGCAGGAUAGAGCAAGCGAUUCCUAAUCGAGAGGUCGGUGGUUCGAAUCCACUCGGGGUCACCA